GCAGAGGAGAGCAGCAGUUCAAAUGUUAAUUUCCAGUGUUAACAUUAUAUAUUUUUUAAUAGAUAUCUGGUUUUCCUCCAGCCAAGGGCAUUGAUUGACUUCUGCUAGGUUUUGAGUGAUGCUCCAAAAUCUUCAUGGUAGUGGUCGCAGAGCGUGAAGCUCUCAUCCAGGGAUCCAUCGAGGAGACCACAGUGGGAGAACAGGUUAUCACACACUAGUCUAGUGUCUAGUACCAGCAUAUAAACCAGUGGACAUCGGGACUGUCCUCAAGGGCAAGAUGGUGUUGCAAGAUUGCAGAGAACUGCAUUUGAAGCUGCCAUUUUGUGUGAGCCUAAAUUGCCCUCCUGAAUGUAAGUCCACCUUUAAAGCACUCCAGGUUGACGUGAAGCUCAACUCACUCUCCAGGAUCAGUAUCAAAGACUAUCAGUGUGCUGUUACCAAUGUGUAAUGGCGAGAUGGACAGGAUGUAGUUUUCCGUGUUCACCAUCUUGGAUAAUGGACAUUAUUGCUCCAUCCAUUGCAUUGAUUGUGUACUUGAUGUGUUGUCCAUUCUAAAAGCUUUGGACAUGUACUGUAGUUCAUCUCACAUGGACUUGGACUGUUUGUUGUAUGAUACCCCCAGCCUGCUUUUUAAGUUUUAAGUCUUUAUAGUUGUUGUUCCUUUUAGACAUGUAGUAUUCCCCUUAGCUUCUACUUUUGUUGGAUGUUAAUUUUUCUCUCCUGAUAUUGUCCUGCUUAUCUUUGAUACAACUGCAGUGUUUCUAUUAAAGAGAGACAUUUAACAGUCCAGUGACAUGAUUAAAUGAUGUGAAGUAAGUCUGAACUUGUAUUUGCACUACAUUACUGUCAUUAACUAUUGAUCUUGAUUGGCAAAUAUUAGUAUUUGUCAUAAGGCAGAUGUUACGUACACAUUAAAAUCAAGUAAAUUCAAA